ensembl:lncRNA
AAACAAAAAAACCCAAACAAACCCAAAUGAUGCAGUGAGAUUGGGUUUGGAUAAGAGGUGGAGCACUUCUACAUCUGGCAAAGAGUAGACCCCAGUGCAAAUACCACGUUCCUUCUGCUGCUGAAAAUUCAGAAAGUCAACCAGUCAGACAGUCGUCACAGUCAGUGCAGGACCAAAUGGAGUGAUACUUCAUUGGGGUGAAUAUAACUGGCAAUUUUUUUUCUCUUGCUUCAUUGCACAAAAGAGGAAAAAAAAUAUUGUGCAGAAAAGCUGGAGGGAUGAAACAUACAGUGCCAGUGUCCCUGUGCAAUCAUUUUUGCAAAGCUGUGAACUGAUUGCCUGGUAUGGUGUCCUCUGAAGCUCUGAAGGUGGA